AUUGAACGCUGGCGGCAGGCCUAACACAUGCAAGUCGAGCGGCAGCGGGAAGUAGCUUGCUACUUUGCCGGCGAGCGGCGGACGGGUGAGUAAUGUCUGGGAAACUGCCUGAUGGAGGGGGAUAACUACUGGAAACGGUAGCUAAUACCGCAUAACGUCGCAAGACCAAAGAGGGUGGCCUUCGGGCCUCUUGCCAUCAGAUGUUCCCAGAGGGGAUUAGCUAGUAGGUGGGGUAAUGGCUCACCUAGGCGACGAUCCCUAGCUGGUCUGAGAGGAUGACCAGCCACACUGGAACUGAGACACGGUCCAGACUCCUACGGGAGGCAGCAGUGGGGAAUAUUGCACAAUGGGCGCAAGCCUGAUGCAGCCAUGCCGCGUGUAUGAAGAAGGCCUUCGGGUUGUAAAGUACUUUCAGCGGGGAGGAAGGUGUUGAGGUUAAUAACCUCAGCAAUUGACGUUACCCGCAGAAGAAGCACCGGCUAACUCCGUGCCAGCAGCCGCAGUAA
rnacentral:rRNA from 1 species